UGGACCCUCGCAGCAAGAAUGGCACGUGGGAAUUGACACCGCGAUCGUGGAACACAUGGCUGAUCUGCCUCGAAUAACUGCACGCCGGCGCGUGCGUAGUGCCGUGGAGAACGAUCAGAAGUCCUGAACGACAAAGAAAACACUUCAAAGCUGCCUCUGCGAACCCUGCUCCUGGACAACAGCUGGGAG
rnacentral:lncRNA from 1 species